UAAAAAUCAAUGACGGGGAGGAGUAACUUAAGGAUUCCCUUAAGCGAGCAAGGGUUGGUGCGAGCCUUGUAGGGUUACUUAGGCCAAAAGAGCCCCCAAGAUGCAGCCUGAAAGCUUUUGCAAGUAUGGUGUGCCCCUUAUGGGUUAUUUAAUCGAGUGGGCUUUUUGCCAACAAGAGUGGUACCGCGGGUAUAGCCGUCUCUUUU
rnacentral:ncRNA from 1 species